rnacentral:misc_RNA from 1 species
GAUGAAGAACGUAGCGAAACGCGAUAGGUAAUGUGAAUUGCAGAAUUCCGUGAAUCAUCGAAUCUUUGAACGCACAUUGCGCCCGCCAGUAUUCUGGCGGGCAUGCCUGUUCGAGCGUCAUUACAACCCUCAGGCCCCCGGGCCUGGCGUUGGGGAUCGGCGGAGCCCCCCGUGGGCACACGCCGACCCCCAAAUACAGUGGCGGUCCCGCCGCAGCUUCCAUCGCGUAGUAGCUAACACCUCGCGACUGGAGAGCGGCGCGGCCACGCCGUAAAACACCCAACUCUUCUGAAGUUGACCUCGAAUCAGGUAGGAAUACCCGCUGAACUUAAGCAUAUCAAUAAGCGGAGGA